rnacentral:rRNA from 1 species
UAGGGAAUCUUCGGCAAUGGGGGGAACCCUGACCGAGCAACGCCGCGUGAGUGAAGAAGGUUUUCGGAUCGUAAAGCUCUGUUGUUAAGGAAGAACGAGUGUGAGAAUGGAAAGUUCAUACUGUGACGGUACUUAACCAGAAAGGGACGGCUAACUACGUGCCAGCAGCCGCGGUAAUACGUAGGUCCCGAGCGUUGUCCGGAUUUAUUGGGCGUAAAGCGAGCGCAGGCGGUUAGAUAAGUCUGAAGUUAAAGGCAGUGGCUCAACCAUUGUAGGCUUUGGGAACUGUUUAACUUGAGUGCAGAAGGGGAGAGUGGAAUUCCAUGUGUAGCGGUGAAAUGCGUAGAUAUAUGGAGGAACACCGGUGGCGAAAGCGGCUCUCUGGUCUGUAACUGACGCUGAGGCUCGAAAGCGUGGGGAGCGAACAGGAUUAGAUACCCUGGUAGUCCACGCCGUAAACGAUGAGUGCUAGGUGUUAGGUCCUUUCCGGGACUUAGUGCCGCAGCUAACGCAUUAAGCACUCCGCCUGGGGAGUACGACCGCAAGGUUG